rnacentral:rRNA from 1 species
GACAUCCAGAGAACUUAGCAGAGAUGCUUUGGUGCCUUCGGGAACUCUGAGACAGGUGCUGCAUGGCUGUCGUCAGCUCGUGUUGUGAAAUGUUGGUUAAGUCCCGCAACGAGCGCAACCCUUAUCCUUUGUUGCCAGCGGUUCGACCGGGAACUCAAAGGAGACUGCCGGUGAUAAACCGGAGGAAGGUGGGGAUGACGUCAAGUCAUCAUGGCCCUUACGGCCAGGGCUACACACGUGCUACAAUGGCGCAUACAAAGAGAAGCGACCUCGCGAGAGCAAGCGGACCUCAUAAAGUGCGUCGUAGUCCGGAUUGGAGUCUGCAACUCGACUCCAUGAAGUCGGAAUCGCUAGUAAUCGUAGAUCAGAAUGCUACGGUGAAUACGUUCCCGGGCCUUGUACACACCGCCCGUCACACCAUGGGAGUGGGUUGCAAAAGAAGUAGGUAGCUUAACCUUCGGGAGGGCGCUUACCACUUUGUGAUUCAUGACUGGGGUGAAGUCGUAACAAGGUAGGCGUAGCGAG